rnacentral:rRNA from 1 species
CCUGCGGGUUGUAAAGCACUUUUAGUGGGGACAAAAAAGUCAUGGGCGAAUACCCCGUGACCUUGAUUUAACUCACAGAAAAAAGCACCGGCUAACUCUGUGC